AUUUCAUUAUUCUUCUAACAGUUUCCUGAAUUUUGUUUUAACUCAGUUACGUUCACAGUUAAUGCUUUCUUCCUUUUGCGGGAGCAAGGACUAACACCUGAUUCUUAUACUCUUUGUUCUUUGAUUACAACUGUCUAUCUCUCUAAGAAAUAUGUUGAAUUACCUCUGCUCAUAACUGGCUUCGAGAUUCAACCUGAUUUAGUUGCAUGUAACUCUUUUCUUAGCUAUUUAUGCAAAGCUGGUUAUCCUGAUGGUGCUAUUGAGUUUUACAAUGACAUGAUAGAUAGAGGUUUCGUAGCAGAUAAGUAUACCUUUGCCGGAUUACUAACUGGAUUAUGCAGCUCAGGUAGGAUAAGAGAGGCAGUCAAGGUGUACCGUGGACUUGUUAGAAGUCACAGUGGGCUUGAUUUUCAUAUAAUUACUGUGAUAAUAAAUGGGCUAAUAAAAUCUGGUAAAUUUCACAAAGCUGUUAGCUUAAUCAAGAAAACUGCUUCAGAAAAUCCCAACUAGAUGAUGUUUCUUACACUAUUGCCAUUAGUGGACUACUUACUGGUGGUCAAGUUGGAGAAGCAUAUACCUUGUUUAGCCAAAUGAAGGAGGUUGGCCUAGCACCAAGUAAGCAGACCCAUAAUCAGAUUCUCUCAGGUUUCUGUAAAAGAAGUGAUGUUUGCAUGGUUAAAGAUCCUACUUGAAAUGCUUGAUGCUAAUACUGAAGUUGACCAUUACAAUCUGAGCUUGAUGAAAAAUCUCCUUUAUAGAUCCCACCGCCAUUCUGCUUCACUCUUAACUCUAUUAACUAACAUUUCAAAUUCCGGAAUCCUUCCAAGGGAAGCAUACAAUGAAAUGAUCAAUGAGCUGGUUCAUCAAGAAUCAGAGCUUACUCUCUCGGAAUAUCAAAGGUGACGAGUGAUCUGAGAAUGAGGAUUCUGUAUAGUGACAGGUAUCUGAUGAAAGCACCAGAGAUAUGACUACGAGUGUAAAGCUGGAUUAGGUCACUAGGCGGAUGCUUCUUUUGUCUUCCUGGAGGAGGAUAUCGAACCAUGGAAGAGUUGCUGGAAGUGAUAAUACAGGAACGAGAAUCCACAAAAUAUGGUUGGUCUUGCUAAUUGUUGAGUGAUACUAUAAUACCUUGCUUGUGUUAUUUGUUAAAUGAUGUUGAAGAAGAUUUCAUGUAGCCUGUUGCUCAGUCCGAUUAUUCUUGCUGCUCUGAUGAGUGUUGGAAAUUUCUGUAGCUAAAGCAGAUGCAUAUCCGGGACUUCAGGAGGAUGAGUGCACUGCUAGAGGAGAGAUGGGUAUUUUAUUUUUUUAGAAUUUUGAAAAUCCAAGAAUGAACCAAAAAAAAAAAAAAAGAACAACAACAAUUACGCCUCAGUCCCAAACAAGUUGGGGUCGGCAAUAUGAAUCCUCAUUCCUUUCAUUAAGCUCAA